AUGCUCACAAGAACACUUACCCUGCCCUGUGGCUGUGGUGGGUGCUGGAAAAACGUGAGCUAGAGCAUGAGUAUUGCUUUGGGAGUGUCCCAUUCCAGGCCAUGUGGGACACUACAGUUUCCAAUACAACA
ensembl:scaRNA